AGAAACACUCUGCUACAGAACAAGUGUCUUGGUUCACAGCAAAGAGGACAAAGAAAACAGCAAGUUUUAGGGGGUUGAAUCCUGGAUUCCCCUGGCAAACACCAUUCUACUUUCCGUCUCUAUGAAUUUGACUACUCGAAGUACCUCAUGUGAAAUGUUGGUGCCAAAUGAACUUUUCUGGUUCUUCUGAAUUAAUUCAGCAUUUCCAGUGACAUCCUUCUGGCUGUGCUUCAAAGGGAAGAUGACGCUAGAGCUGGCAGCAUGACCAGCACUGUGUAAAUCACCCAGACAGACAACAACACAACAUCCAUGAAUAGAUGGCAGAGUUAGCAAGAAAAAAUAGCUUGGAGGAUGGAAAAACCCCAAAGAGGAUGAAGAGAUCCUCCUAGCUUGGCGGAAUACUCUGCUCUGAUGGAAGUACCAUCCUGGUCCAAACAUGAAAGAAUUCCCAACAUCAAGAUUGAUUGAAACAUAUUCAAUGGUGUAACUGGAUCUUGGUUCAUGCUGAGCUUAAAAUUUGAUCUUCUGAAUAUCAGCAGAAAGACUCUUUCUGGUGAAUACAGAUCUUCUGAGCAAUUAUCGACUGACUUUGUCAUUAGACUGCCCUUUCAGAAGGUACAAAAAAAGAAAAAGAAAAUUACUACUGUGAAGUGAAGUCUGAGCAACUGGGAAGAAAUGCAAGGUGAAAUGAAAUGGUGAAGGUGGUGACCAGAUGGAUAUAAACGGGCUGUGGAAAAAGAGAAUGCAUGGCCAAAAAUGGUGGUGCUCUCUGUCCAAAAACUGAGGCCCUAUGACCAUGAAUGAAGCCAGAGGGCAGGUAGGAAUAGAUCAUUUGCUCCAGAAGAAGCUGGUUGCCAUGUCUUGAGGACAGUAAACCCUCUGGGGAGGUUCCUGUGGUAAGGAACAAGGGCUCCUGGCAAUAGCCUCUGAGUGAGCCACCUUGAAAAUGGAUUGUCCAGCCCCAGUCAAGCUUUCAGAUGACUGUAGCUCCUGCCAAUGUCUUCACCACAACCUCAUGAGAUCCCAAGCUACAACCACUCAGAACUUCAUCUUUUGGGAAGCACCAGGGAGAGCUGCCUGUGCCUGGCAGAAGCUGCCCAUGCCCCACUGAUACCCCACAGUACUUCCUGUUCUGCUUAGUACUCCUGCUUCUUUCUACAAACAACUGUGAUUCUCUACCUGGGAGCUUCCUCUGGCCACAGGAGCCUGCUCACCUGAUUGGGACACCCUAGCAGUACUGGCUCAUAGAUGGAAGGGACUUGCCUUGUCGCUGAUGAGACUUUCGACUUGGACUUUUGAGUCAAUGCUGGAAUGAGUUAAGACUUUGGGGAACUGUUGGAAGGGUGUGAUUGUGUUUUGAAUUGUGAGGACAUGAGAUUUUGAAGAGGCUAAUGGCAGCGUCCCCACCUAAAUCUCUUCUUGAAUUGUAGUUCCCAUAAUCCCCACGUGUCGUGGGGUGGAGCCGGUGGAGAUAAUUGAAUCAUGGGAACACUUUCCCCCAUGCUGUUAUUGUGAUUGUGAAUUCUCACGAGAUCUGAUGGUUGUAUAAACGCCUUCCCUCUUCGCUGGGCACUCAUUUUUCUCCUUCCUGCCACCAUGUGAAGAAGGAUAUGCUUGCUUCUUGUGCCAUGAUUGUAAGUUUCCUGAGGCCUCCCCAGCCAUGCUGAACUGUGAGUCAAUUGAACCUCUUUCCUUUAUAAAUUACCUAGUCUUGGAUAUGUUUUUAUUAGCAGUGUGAGACAGGACUAAUACACAAAGGAUUUGAAAUCACAAAGGAGCUGUUUUCUGCUCCACCAUGGAAGUCUCACAUGCAUCACAUCUAUUCAUAUCCAUUUGCCACAACUAGACAAAAAGUCCUUUUUAAAAUCUGCCUAGAGAUCAGGAAGUAUUAUCUCUGGAUGCCUAGGCAGGAGAGGUGAAUCAGAUAUUGGUGGGCACUAGUGUGUUCUAUGAUACAUAGCUUAAUAAAAAUAAGUUUCAGAUAAAUCUAAAUAUACAUUAGAAUACUGUAACCACAGUAGAAAAAAAUAUUGGCUCCUUUUUGUGAUAAACUAAUGAUGGUAAAUGCACCCUAUUUAAGCAAGAAAAGAAACUGAUCUGCCAUAAAGAAAACAAUGACAUAUUUAACUACAAAAUAUGUUACAAAAUAUUAAUAUCCCUAAUGGACAAAUGAGUUCCAAUAAAUGGAUAACAAAAAACCAAUAAGUCUGUAGAAAAAUGGAGAAAAUAUAUUUGCAGAAUAUUUAUACAGGUGGUAAUGAAAUUGACAAUGAUGUUUAUCAUCAGCAGUAAACAGUAAAAAGUUUCACCCACCAGGACUAUAGAAAUUUUUCAAAUGGAUAAUUUUCAGAAUCAGCAAAGUUAUAGAAAAGUAGGUACCAGUUGCACAUACCAUUGGAGGAAAUGUAAAAUAUAGUUACCUUGUGGAAAGUAAUCUGAUGUAAUAUAUUAAAAUUUUAUCCAUGUAUGUCCUAUAAUUCAGCAAUUCCAUGUUGGGGAAUCCAUACAAAGAAAUACUUAUACACAUGCAGAAGGAGCUAAGUUUAAGAAAGCACACAUUUCAGCGGGUUGUGGUGUCUCACCCCUGUAAUCCCAGCACAUUGGGAGGCCGAGGUUGGUGGAUCACCUGAGGUCAGGAGUUUGAGACCAGCCUGGCCAACAUGGUGAAACCC
ensembl:lncRNA STXBP5-AS1 STXBP5 antisense RNA 1